AAAAGUGGUCGUGUAAGAAAUUUCAUAGUCGAUGUCUGGUUGUAAUUAUCUAAACAUAAUAAGUUUUUUCGUAAUUUGACGUUACAUCAUGGGUGACCGUAAUUUAUCCAAAUAUCAAGAAAUAGAAAAAAUUGAUUGAUAAAUAUGGGCAAAGUAUCGUCACCCAAAAACAACCAAUAAACCAGAGCAUAAUACAUCAUUUGAAAGAAAAAAAACCGAUCUUUUUCUUCUAAAGCAACAAGUAUUGACCAAUCAUCGAUUACUGCUGCUCCUCCUUCAAAUCAAAAUCAUCAGUCUUCCUCUUCUUUUCGGUGUUGCCGGAGAUGGGAGCUUUUGGUGCUGGCGGCGGUGGCGGUGGCGGCGUUUGGAGGAGUAGUCUGGUGUGGGUGGGGGUAAAGGGGUGGAAAUCGGAACGGAAUUUCCGAUUUCCGCCGACUCCGAUCCGAUUAUUUCCGAUUAUGGAAUUAAUUUUUGUACUCCGAUUUCCGAUUUUUUCCGAAAAAAUCGGAUCGGAAUCGGAAUUAACUAUAAAAUCUCCGGAAUUUCCGAAUUCCGAUCCGAAAAUGAUUCCGAAAUAUUCCGAUUUUUCAUAUAUAUUAAGU
rnacentral:lncRNA from 1 species